AUCAUUGUAAAUGCUGUCGUCUUUAAAAUCGGAUUUAAAUUUGGGGUCGGUACUUUUUCGUUUGAUUCUGGAACUCUGCUGAAUGCAAGGUUGAUCUUGGCUGGCUUGAAGAAUUUGAUAGAAGGUGGCAGUUCCGGCUAAAGGAACUUCCGGUGGCGAUGUGAAUGCUUUUCCAAUCGGGACAUUCCGUUUCCGUUGGCAAGUCGGCCAAGCAAGCGUACUUUGAUCAAAUUUUUGAAUACUGUACAAAACAUUCGAAAUCGAGUUGGCAAUUUGGAUUUUAAAAUACUCGGGAACUGAAAUUUUGAUUCAGUUUUAUUACGACAUUGAACACAAAAUAAAUUUCAAUUGCCUUUAAAGAACAAGGAAGGACUUGAAAUGAGAAUCUUUAAGUGCUAGUAUGUUGGAUAAUAAAUUAACU
rnacentral:lncRNA from 1 species